CCAAUAGCGUAUAUUAAAGUUGCUGCAGUUAAAAAGCUCGUAGUUGAAUUUCGGGAUCAUCAUGUCGGUCGUGCCUCGGUACGUACUGGCAUUGUUGGUUUCUACCUUCUGACGAACCAUGAUGUCAUUUAUUUGGUGUCGUGGGAAAUCAGGACUGUUACUUUGAAAAAAUUAGAGUGUUUAAAGCAGGCUCACGCUUGAAUCCAUUAGCAUGGAAUAAUGAAAGAGGACGUUUGAUUCUAUUUUGUUGGUUUCUAGGAUCGACGUAAUGAUUAAUAGGGAUAGUUGGGGGCAUUAGUAUUCAAUUGUCAGAGGAGAAAUUCUUGGAUUUAUUGAAGACUAACUACUGCGAAAGCAUUUGCCAAGGAUGUUUUCAUUAAUCAAGAACGAAAGUUAGGGGAUCGAAGACGAUCAGAUACCGUCGUAGUCUUAACCAUAAACUAUGCCGACUAGGGAUCGGAUGAUGUUAAUUUUUUAAUGACUCAUUCGGCGCCUUACGGGAAACCAAAGUGUUUGGGGUUC
rnacentral:rRNA from 1 species